GUGCUCACUACAGCGCACGUUAAAAUUGGGUUGAUACAGAGAAGAUUAUCGAGUCCCGGCGCAAGGAUGACUCGCAAAUUCACGAAGCGUUGUUCCACAGUUUU
rnacentral:snRNA from 1 species